UGGGGAAUAUUGGGCAAUGGGCGCAAGCCUGACCCAGCAACGCCGCGUGAGGGAAGAAGGUCUUCGGAUUGUAAACCUCUGUCCUUGGGGACGAAAAAAAAUGACGGUACCCAAGGAGGAAGCUCCGGCUAACUACGUGCCAGCAGCCGCGGUAAUACGUAGGGAGCGAGCGUUGUCCGGAAUUACUGGGCGUAAAGGGUGCGUAGGCGGCUUGGCAAGUCAGAUGUGAAAUCCCCGGGCUUAACUCGGGAGUUGCAUUUGAAACUGCUAGGCUUGAGUGCAGGAGAGGAAAGCGGAAUUCCUAGUGUAGCGGUGAAAUGCGUAGAUAUUAGGAGGAACACCGGUGGCGAAGGCGGGUCUCUGGGCCGAUACUGACGCUGAGGAGCGAAAGCGUGGGGAGCAAACA
rnacentral:rRNA from 1 species